rnacentral:misc_RNA from 1 species
CGACAGAGUGUACGAAGAAACGAGAUGCAUUUCGUCGUGCCCGUAAAUAUAAAGUACCAUGCGGUCACAAAAGAAAGGGAAGAUUCUCAAAGGGGAGAAGCAGGCGUUAAUAAAAUAAGAAGGGACGGAUUACCGACGCUGAAGAAUAUCGCAGCUUAUCCUAUAAAAAAUUCUUCCGGAAUAGAUCCAACACGGAAGAAGCUUUAGAAAGAGGUGGCACGUUUAAAGGGAAACAAGUGGAGCAACGUCGUAAGCAGAUCGAGAAGAAUAUACGAGUGCGGAAACUUGUACAAUAGGAGAAGCGCAUGUCGAAGAGUGAAAAAUAAGGAGAGAACAGUGAAUAACUUAAGAAUCAAACACCAGGCACUUACAAAAAGCAAGGAG